rnacentral:rRNA from 1 species
UGGGCAACCUGCCCUUCUCAUCGGAAUAAGCGUUGGAAACGACGUCUAAUGCCGAAUACGACCUCCUUUCGCAUGAUCGGAGGUAGG